AUUGAACGCUGGCGGCAUGCUUUACACAUGCAAGUCGAACGGUAACAGGUUAAGCUGACGAGUGGCGAACGGGUGAGUAAUGCAUCGGAACGUGCCCGAACGUGGGCGAUAACGCAGCGAAACCUGCUCUAAUACCGCAUACGAUCUGAGGAUGAAAGCGGGUGACAGUAAGGCCACGCGCGCUCGGCGCGUCCGAUGUCAAAUUAGGUAGUUGGUGGGGUAAAGGCUCACCAAGCCAACGAUCUGUAGCUGGUCUGAGAGUACGACCAGCCCACCUGGGACUGAGACACGGCCCAGACUCCUACGGAGGCAGCAGUGGGGAAUUUUGGACAAUGGGCGAAAGCCUGAUCCAGCAAUGCCGCGUGCAGGAAGAAGGCCUUCGGGUUGUAAACUGCUUUUGUACGGAGCGAAAAGGCUCUCUCUAAUACAGGGGGCUCAUGACGGUACCGUAAGAAUAAGCACCGGCUAACUACGUGCCAGCCGCCGCAGUAA
rnacentral:rRNA from 1 species